CAGUAGCCACGGGAAUACAGAGGGUGCGAGCGUUAAUCGGAUUUACUGGGCGUAAAGCGUGCGUAGGCGGCUUUUUAAGUCGGAUGUGAAAUCCCUGAGCUUAACUUAGGAAUUGCAUUCGAUACUGGGAAGCUAGAGUAUGGGAGAGGAUGGUAGAAUUCCAGGUGUAGCGGUGAAAUGCGUAGAGAUCUGGAGGAAUACCGAUGGCGAAGGCAGCCAUCUGGCCUAAUACUGACGCUGAGGUACGAAAGCAUGGGGAGCAAACAGGAUUAGAAACCCCAGUAGUCCCUGUCUCUUAUAC
rnacentral:rRNA from 1 species